rnacentral:tRNA from 1 species
GGAAGGGCCAUAGCUCAGUGGCAGAUCAGCUGCUUUGCAUGCAGAAGGUCCCAGGUUCAAUUCCCGGCAUUUCCA